rnacentral:rRNA from 1 species
GAGCGCGGACGAGCGCGCUGACCCCGCCGCGCGGACGAGAUACGUCUUCCCGCCGCCGCCGGCCUAGGCACGCGCCGGCCCCGACCCCUCCGCCUAGGCCCCCGCCCGCCGCUCCGCACCCAGCGGCCACUUCUGUUCCGGCCUCGUGCCGAAGGGCCCGCCUAGGUACCGUAGUCGCUGAGACCCUUCUUUCCUUUGUACCUCCACUCCCUCUUUUCCUUCUUUCCUCCCCGCCACGUCGCUGGAUCCGUCCUCGAGCAGCCUCGCACCGCUGCCGCCUGCCCGCGCCCUCUCCCCGCCUAGGCCGCGCUGCCGCUCCUCAGGAAUUUAUAAGUCUGAGCAGCAUUAAGGAAUAAGUAGGACGACCACAACAAGCAGGUCUCCUUCCUCUUCUCCUUCCGCCGUUGCGGCGGCCGGCCAACCCACUGUCGUUGGUCCGGUGCCCACCACGUCGGUGAGGACGCUCAUUCUUACUCCUGAAUGGUGGUCCAUUAGGUAAGUAGAGGGGAGAAAAGGAUGAAGGGGAGCUAGACCAGGAGUAACCGGUACAAGAAGUGCACGUCUUUAGGAGUAAGAGGUACAAUAACUCAGCUAGACUUCGGAUCUCGAAUCUCUAGAACACGAGACGUAAUGGACUAUAAAGUAGACUAACUCCCAUCACCUACUUUCGUACCAAAUCAGUAACUCAACUGAUUUUAGUCGACUCAUCUCUCUCCGCAACUAACGACGUUAAAUCUAUGUUCCGAACUAACUCGACGACGACCGCGACGAUGAUCUUUCUGUCUCUCUCGUCUCUCCCUUUCUGUCCCAAGGUUACGAAUGACUAGACCAAAACCACUCUUUUUUUUACUCUUUAUCCUCUCCUUGUCUCUCACGUCUCUCUAUCUCUCUGAUGUGUAGUGACUUGGGAAACCUAAGAUUAUGAUCCAACUCAUUAAAACACACAAGAAUGACAAACCCUAUUAUACGUCAAAAAACCGAAUAGUAACACGGAGUUCAAAGUCAGUAGCGAACCGACAUGUCGCUGCUAAAAGCGGCUAUUAGGCAGAUGAGUAUGAGCUGGCAAGCGGCCUUGAAACAGACUGGACUCCAUAUAUGAUGAAAAAUAGUGAAAACGAAGAAGAGUGGCCUACGUACGUACGAAGAGGUGUGUCCAAAGGGAAUCAAGUCAUGAAUAAAAAAAACCACAUAUGAAAGAGGAGUAGUUAGUACAUAUGCAUGUUGUUUUGUCUUUCUUUGUAUACAACAACUAGCUAUGACUUGAUAGUAUACCUUCUAUUGGGAGAGAAGAUAUGGGGAAACACUUUUCAUCGUAUGAUAGUAAAGUUUUCUUUUGUGUGGUAUAUGAGUACAGACUGUUACUCAUAUGUGACUAGUAAUAACGGUCAUAGUAUCCAUAUAUGAGACUCUUAUCAACAUAUAUAGGGUAAACUUUUUUAUCAUACAUAUAUGAGGAACGUUUAAGGAGGUAUAGUAAAUUUUCAAAAAUGCAUUCUGACUGGCACAUCUAUGUUAUUGAUUAAUCAUAAAAUUAUUUAACUUAACGUACCGAACUAGCGAAACGAAACCAGAAGAGAAUACAUACUCACGUGGUACACCCCCAAUUGUAAAGAACCCAGAAGAUUGAGAGACCCUAUUAAACGUAGAGAUAAACACGAUUAACCGUUCCACGCACUUAUGACUAAAUAGGUUCCAAAACGAUCUCUUCAACGUUGUCGAAACUAGUUUAUAAUAAAAAUAUUAAGGAAGAACCAAAAUCUGUUAUUUCAGCUCUUAGAUUUAGGAAGAUGACAUAGAUAUGGACAUUAUCUCGUUGUGCACCACGUCGAUCGACGUCGCUCCUGGUUGAACUGAACUACCCCUAUGUCAAUGGUUCUUUCUUAGUAUGAGGACAUACUAGGUUCUAUAACGUGCUUGUUCGAACCCACCUAUGUUAGUGGUUCUUUCUUAGUAUGAGGACAUACUGGUUGAACUGAAUUACCCCUCAUGGACUUGAAUGGAAAUACGUAACGUGCUUGAUGGUUCUAUAAUAUAGAAGGACAUACUAGGUAUUGAGUAUCUGUACCCAUCGCUACCCUAUGAUAAACCAUACUUGUUGUAGUAGUAGAACAUUAAGAUUGUACAUAAGUAAAUUGAAUAAAUAGGCGUACUAUCGCUACCUAGAAUGCAUAGACAGAUAACAUAAACUUAGAUC